GUGGGGAAUAUUGGACAAUGGGCGAAAGCCUGAUCCAGCCAUGCCGCGUGUGUGAAGAAGGUCUUCGGAUUGUAAAGCACUUUAAGUUGGGAGGAAGGGUAGUAACCUAAUACGUUGCUACUUUGACGUUACCGACAGAAUAAGCACCGGCUAACUUCGUGCCAGCAGCCGCGGUAAUACGAAGGGUGCAAGCGUUAAUCGGAAUUACUGGGCGUAAAGCGCGCGUAGGUGGUUUUGUAAGUUGGAGGUGAAAUCCCCGGGCUCAACCUGGGAACUGCCUCCAAAACUGCAUGACUAGAGUACGGUAGAGGGUAGUGGAAUUUCCUGUGUAGCGGUGAAAUGCGUAGAUAUAGGAAGGAACACCAGUGGCGAAGGCGACUACCUGGACUGAUACUGACACUGAGGUGCGAAAGCGUGGGGAGCAAACAGGAUUAGAAACCCCUGUAGCC
rnacentral:rRNA from 1 species